UCGGGCUUUGAGCUCGAGGGGGUGAUAACACCUGUGUGAUUCACAGUAUACGCUUCUCCACCUUACAAGAUGGCAAAGCGCCUGAUCGUUUUGUUUCUUGCUGUCUGUACAAUCGAUGCUUCAGCCAACCCGCACGAAUUGAACGAGGAUAUCCACGUGGCUAAACACCGACGGUUGUACCCGGACACUGGUCGAAUGCCACCAACUCAUGGAUGCCCGUUUGAUACCGAAGCUUGCACCGAAUUUUGUACAUGGUUGUUUUACAAAGGCGGCAGGUGUGUUGGACCCCAUCGGCUGUACUGCGUCUGCUACGAGACGGAGAAGCUUUUUGGCUAAGAAACGAAGCGGUAGAGUUCGCAGUUAAGGAAGAGAUGCAGGCGGAGUACGCUGUUUGGGAAUACUUACAACACGUCACCUCCUGGCUGAAGAAAACGACAUGUAAUGCAAAUAAAUGACAAAAAUGUA